rnacentral:rRNA from 1 species
UCCUACGGGAGGCAGCAGUAGGGAAUAUUGGUAAUGGGCGAAAGCCUGAACCAGCAACGCCGCGUGUGCGAUGAAGGCCUUCGGGUUGUAAAGCACUUUUGACCGGGACGAGGAAGGACGGUACCGGUGGAAUAAGCCUCGGCUAACUACGUGCCAGCAGCCGCGGUAAUA